rnacentral:tRNA from 1 species
GGGCCCGUAGCUCAGUGGACAGAGUGCUUGGUUCCAGACCACGAUGUCGCGGGUUCAAAUUCUGUCAGAGCACGCUCUGACUGACUCCCAUUCGCUCGCUAGCGCUCGCUCACGGGAGUCCCGUCGGGUCCG